AUGGUGGCAAACCAGGAGGAGGUGGCGGCAGAAAGUGACGAUGACGGUGGGUGUGAUCCGCGUCACAGUGGCGGUCCCUGGCAGAGCUCAUGCCGUUUGAGCUCGACGACGCGACGGCUGCGGCCUCUGUGUGUCAAUCACCACCACCUUGAUAUUAGUAUAGAAACUCAAUAUUAUUGUAUUUGUUCUUCGUAUGAGUGGCCAACCCUAUAUGAAUUCAGGUUUGGGGUUCUUGCUUCAUAUCCUGUUCGAAACUUGGAAUUUUUAUUGUCAAGCAUAGGGUUACUUUCACGGUCGCCUGCAUAUUUUUCUGGUGGCUUACAAGGUAAAACACACAUCAUGGAAUACAGGGAGAACACAGAUUUGUUUUGCUCUUUGUACUUCUGUUAG
rnacentral:rRNA from 1 species